rnacentral:rRNA from 1 species
AUUGAACGCUGGCGGCAGGCCUAACACAUGCAAGUCGAACGGAGUGGCGGACGGGUGAGUAAUGUCUGGGAAACUGCCUGAUGGAGGGGGAUAACGUCUGGAAACGGGCGCUAAUACCGCAUACUAUCAGAUGAGCCUAGGUCGGAUUAGCUAGUGGGUGGGGUAAAGGCCUACCAAGGCGACGAUCCGUAACUGGUCUGAGAGGAUGAUGAGGCACACUGGAACUGAUACACGUUCCAUACACCUACGGGAGGCAGCAGUGGGGAAUAUUGGACAAUGGGCGAAAGCCGGAUCCAGCCAUGCCGCGUGUGUGAAGAAGGUUUUCGGAUUGUAAAGCACUUUAAGUUGGGAGGCGUUACCCACAGAAGAAGCACCGGCUAACUUCGAGCCAGCCGCCGCGGUAAUAC